AGAGGCUUCUGGUGUAACUGAAGCCCCCGGGACCAAAACAACAGGUGCUCCUGGUGUGACUGAAGCUCCUGGAGCCAAACCAACAGCCGUGACAGCUGCCCCGGGUGGCGGCCAAACAGAAGAAUGGAUGAACGUUGGAAGCUGUGGGCAAGGACUCACCUGUGGCCCAGACUGUCAGCUUCUAUGCCUCAAAUUACACAAUUACUAUCGAAAACUACACGACGCUCCGCCCAUGUCGUGUGAUCCAGAACUGGCCAAGUCAGCCCAAGAAUGGACCGACGAACAAGCACGAGCAGGCAACAUGCACCAUUCAGA